rnacentral:rRNA from 1 species
AAAACUUUCAACAACGGAUCUCUUGGUUCUGGCAUCGAUGAAGAACGCAGCGAAAUGCGAUAAGUAAUGUGAAUUGCAGAAUUCAGUGAAUCAUCGAAUCUUUGAACGCACAUUGCACCCCUUGGUACUCCGGGGGGUAUGCCUGUUCGAGCGUCAUU